rnacentral:rRNA from 1 species
AGAGUUUGAUCCUGGCUCAGAACGAACGCUGGCGGCGUGCCUAACACAUGCAAGUCGAGCGCGAAAGGGGCUUCGGCCCUGAGUAAAGCGGCAGACGGGUGAGUAACACGUGGGCAACCUAUCCCUGGGUGGGGGAUAACUACUCGAAAGGGUGGCUAAUACCGCAUAAGACCACGGCCUGCAGGGGCUGGGGUCAAAGGCGCGAGCUGCCCGGGGAGGGGUCCGCGGCCGAUUAGCUAGUUGGUGAGGUAACGGCCCACCAAGGCGACGAUCGGUAGCUGGUCUGAGAGGAUGAUCAGCCACACUGGUACUGAGACACGGACCAGACUCCUACGGGAGGCAGCAGUGGGGAAUAUUGCGCAAUGGGCGAAAGCCUGACGCAGCAACGCCGCGUGGGUGAUGAAGGCCUUCGGGUCGUAAAGCCCUGUCAGGUGGGAAGAAACCUCCUCGUGAGGGGAGCUGACGGUACCACCGGAGGAAGCACCGGCUAACUCCGUGCCAGCAGCCGCGGUAAUACGGAGGGUGCAAGCGUUGUUCGGAAUCACUGGGCGUAAAGGGCGCGUAGGCGGCCGCAUUAGUCCGAUGUGAAAGCCCGGGGCUUAACUCCGGAAGUGCAUUGGAAACUGUGCGGCUUGAGUUCGGGAGAGGAAGGCAGAAUUCCCGGUGUAGGGUUGAAAUCCGUAGAUAUCGGGAGGAAAACCGGUGGCGAAGGCGGCCUUCUGGAACGAAACUGACGCUGAGGCGCGAAAGCGUGGGGAGCAAACAGGAUUAGAGACCCUGGUAGUCCACGCUGUAAACGAUGGAUGCUGGGUGUGGGGGUCAAUACGGACCUCCGUGCCGAAGCUAACGCAUUAAGCAUCCCGCCUGGGGAGUACGGUCGCAAGACUAAAACUCAAAGGAAUUGAUGG